UACCAGCACCCCGAGUGGUCGGGACGAUUAUUGGGCCUAAAGCAUCCGUAGCCGGCCUUACAAGUCCUCCGUUAAAUCCAGCUGCUUAACAGAUGGGCUGCGGAGGAUACUAUAGAGCUAGGAGGCGGGAGAGGCAAGCGGUACUUAGUGGGUAGGGGUAAAAUCCGUUGAUCCAUUGAAGACCACCAGUGGCGAAGGCGGCUUGCCAGAACGCACUAGACGGUGAGGGAUGAAAGCUGGGGGAGCAAACCGG
rnacentral:rRNA from 1 species